CCCUAGUCCCGAUUGAGCGGCAUGUCUGAGCUCUUUCCGGGUUUUGGUUUCUGCGGCGGCGAAGCCGCCGCAGAAACCAAAACCCGGAAAAGCGAGUAGCGAAAGCGGGAAAUGAC
rnacentral:misc_RNA from 1 species